GCAAUGGGGGCAACCCUGACGAAGCAAUGCCGCGUGGAUGAAGAAGGCCUUCGGGUUGUAAAGUCCUUUCGUGGRGGACGAAAAGGCGGGUYCUAAUACRAUCUGCUGUUGACGUGAACCCAAGAAGAAGCACCGGCUAACUCCGUGCCAGCAGCCGCGGUAAUACGGGGGGUGCAAGCGUUAAUCGGAAUCACUGGGCGUAAAGGGUGCGUAGGCGGUACGUUAGGUCUGUCGUGAAAUCCCCGGGCUCAACCUGGGAAUGGCGGUAGAAACCGGCGCACUAGAGUAUGGGAGAGGGUGGUGGAAUUCCAGGUGUAGCGGUGAAAUGCGUAGAGAUCUGGAGGAACAUCAGUGGCGAAGGCGGCCACCUGGCCCAAUACUGACGCUGAGGCACGAAAGCGUGGGGAGCAAACAGGAUUAGAUACCCUGGUAGUCCACGCCCUAAACGAUGAAUACUAGAUGUUUGGURCCUAGCGUACUGAGUGUCGUAGCUAACGCGAUAAGUAUUCCGCCUGGGAAGUACGGCCGCAAGGUUAAAAC
rnacentral:rRNA from 1 species